rnacentral:rRNA from 1 species
CCUACGGGAGGCAGCAGUGGGGAAUAUUGCACAAUGGGGGAAACCCUGAUGCAGCGACGCCGCGUGAGUGAAGAAGUAUUUCGGUAUGUAAAGCUCUAUCAGCAGGGAAGAAAAUGACGGUACCUGAGUAAGAAGCCCCGGCUAACUACGUGCCAGCAGCCGCGGUAAUACGUAGGGGGCAAGCGUUAUCCGGAUUUACUGGGUGUACAGGGAGCGUAGACGGCAGCGCAAGUCUGAAGUGAAAUGCCGGGGCUUAACCCCGGAACUGCUUUGGAAACUGUGCAGCUAGAGUGCAGGAGAGGUAAGUGGAAUUCCUCGUGUAGCGGUGAAAUGCGUAGAUCUUAGGAGGAACACCAGUGGCGAAGGCGGCUUACUGGACUGUAACUGACGUUGAGGCUCGAAAGCGUGGGGAGCAAACAGGAUUAGAUACCCCUGUAGUC